rnacentral:rRNA from 1 species
AAUCAACGCUGGCGGCGUGCCUAACACAUGCAAGUCGAACGCGAAAGCCCUUUCGGGGGUAAGUAGAGUGGCGUCCGGGUGAGUAACACGUAGGUAAUCUACCUUCGGGUGGGGAAUAACUCGCCGAAAGGCGAGCUAAUACCGCAUAAUGCAGCGGCACCUAAUGGUGAUUAGUUGUUAAAGCGGGGGAUCGUAAGACCUCGCGCCUGAAGAGGAGCCUGCGGCAGAUUAGCUAGNGGUGAGGUAAUGGCUCACCAAGGCUUCGAUCUGUAGCUGGUCCGAGAGGACGGCCAGCCACACUGGCACUGACACACGGGCCAGACUCCUACGGGAGGCAGCAGUGGGGAAUUUUGGGCAAUGGGCGCAAGCCUGACCCAGCAACGCCGCGUGAGGGAGGAAAUCCUUCGGGAUGUAAACCUCACAAGCAAGGGAAGAGAGCUCAGGACCAAAUAAGUCCUGAGUCCGACGGUACCUUGCGUAAGCC